rnacentral:misc_RNA from 1 species
AACGCACCUUGCGCCCUCUGGUAUUCCGGAGGGCAUGCCUGUUUGAGUGUCAUGUAGACUCAACCCCCCUGGUUUAUGAUCGGGAAGGGUUGGAUGUGGGUGUUGCCGACUGCCGGCUCGCCUUAAAUGUCUUAGCGGCUUGGAAGCCCCGACCUAGCGUAAUAAGUUUCGCUGGAGAGGGUGUGGAUGACUGCUCACAACCGCCUUUGGGCAACUUUUUGACUCUGGCCUCAAAUCAGGUAGGACUACCCGCUGAACUUAA